rnacentral:rRNA from 1 species
CCUACGGGAGGCAGCAGUGAGGAAUAUUGGUCAAUGGCCGAGAGGCUGAACCAGCCAAGUCGCGUGAGGGAAGACGGCCCUACGGGUUGUAAACCUCUUUUGUCGGGGAGCAAAGCGAACCACGUGUGGUUCAUUGAGAGUACCCGAAGAAAAAGCAUCGGCAAACUCUGUGCCAGCAGCCGCGGUAAUACGGAGGAUGCGAGCGUUAUCCGGAUUUAUUGGGUUAAAAGGGUGCGUAGGGGGAUCGUUAAGUCGGUGGGAAAAUUGAGGGGUUCAACCCCUUCCCGCCAGUGAAACUGGCGCUCUUGAGUGGAAGAGAGGUAUGCGGAAUGCGUGGUGUAGCGGUGAAAUGCAUAGAUAUCACGCAGAACCCCGGUGGCGAAGGCAGCAUGCCGGCUUCCGACUGACGCUGAGGCACGAAAGCGUGGGGAUCGAACAGGAUUAGAUACCCUAGUAGUC